rnacentral:sRNA from 13 species
GCUACUUACUCCAAAAAUAGCUUUGUCGUGUUAAAAAUAAACCAUAAUAUUGCUGGCUAACCCCACUUCAAAAACCGCAGAUUGUAAUUCAAUUCUGCGGUUAAUAAUCGUGGUGUGAAUAGAUUUAUUUGUCAACACUUUUACGUUCAGUGUAAGCUAUUGAACUUGCCAAAAAUAACACAUAUUUGUUUUGUUUUUGUCUGGGAAUUUCUAAGGAACACAAUUACUCGGCGGAAAAGCGGUUAUCAAUUGAUACGGCGGUCAGCAAUGAGAUGUUUUAUUUUUAGGCAUUUCAGAGAAUCGAAUUUGCAAAUGCCUUGACCUUGACUUUUGUUGUUUCCCCACACAUGCCCAAUGUCAAGGCCUCUUCGAUACAAACGCGAAAAGUCGCCGAAAAUACGCCUUCGCUGCUCUAAAUGAAGGGUGGGAAAUGGUGAACACAAAAGGCAGCCACGCGCCUUUCUAUGGGGAGCAAUACGUAGAAACACAAGCCGAUGGCCCCCAGCGGAUCAACAUACAAAAAUACAUAUAAUACCCACUGAUACCGACAAUUUGAUAACAUUUUGGCAGCGAAAACAAAUUAACUGAAAUAUUGUCCAGCUACAGCCACAAGCUAAUUAUCUGUAAUUGCAAAACAAUGAGUGUGCAACCGGAAACCACUUUUCAUUUGUGUACACAUAUUUAUUAUUUGGGGACAAAUGUUAU